UCAUGGUGAAGCAGAGGAGAUUCCGAGUGAAAAACAGGAAACACGACCAGUCUCCUGUCUGAUUCGAUGGAUGGUUAAAUAAACUUCGUUUAGCAUUCGCCAACCUUGUUAUCCGGAGGUAGCAGAAAUGUUUUCGGAACGAGGUUCGAACGUAUGCCAACCAUAAACACUACCAAAGAAUACCUUUAGCCGUCGCUAAUUCUUCGUGCAGAACUAUAUACACCAUUUCCACGAUUCACGAGUUGGAAAUUGAAACGUCAUCUAAUUGUUUCGGUAAACAAAAUAAGGAGUCCAGUAUUGUAUGCCUCAGUACAGCAUCAAAUUGCUCCAUCCAAUUAUCCACAGCAUUAUGGAGAUGGUGGGUAAUGGGUAGCAUCAGCUCGAUCAACGUUUCUUGUACUAUAGACGUGCAUGCCAUCCCACAAUCUGUUGCACGGAAUCUAAUAUUUGGCACACUCACCACUUCGACUGUGAUCAUAUUAUGACACUACUGCUGAUCGUUGGUUGGCUGAUUAUAAUGCUACUGUUCCUGUUCAGCUUUUGCUAAUUGGAAUAAGGAAGGUACUCUGAGCGUAUAAAACUCCGUUCGAUUACCCGACGACGCUUCUACCCGGUUUUUCAUAGUUACUGGAAGGGACCACUUCAUAUCUAUCCCAACGAGUAUGUAACACUGCACUGUAACAAAUGCUGCAAAUUUGCAGCAGGAUCGAGUGUACAGAAGACGGAAGGCCACAAGCGCAAUUUUUGCUGUGGUUGCACGAAAUUACAAGAGGCACAAAUCGCAGGAGAUUGUUGGGAAUGUACCGUUUGCAAAAUAUCCUGAUUUGUGCUGAUACUUUCUGACGUUAAUUCUGCUGGUUAUCUUGUGUGAAGCCGUUACACUGAAGGGGUUGUAUCGGAAUAAGCAUUUAUCCAGUGGAUGUACAUUGUGAUAUUUAUCACCAAUCAGAAUUUGUUUACACUCGUCAGCUUGGAAAAGUGUGCUUACAUAUUCUGACGCACCAGAUUGUCCAAGCGAAAAUGUAAAAUGAUAGCACAGAAUUGAAAUUACAUCUUUACCUUGCAUAAACUUUAACCCUCCGGCACUCGCGCCAUUGUAUUUUGUACUUUACAUUCAGAAAAUCUAGCGAAA